UACGGAGGGGGCGAGCGUUAUUCGGAAUUAUUGGGCGUAAAGGGCGCGUAGGCGGCUUGAUGUGUCAAAGGUGAAAUCCCUCGGCUCAACUGAGGAACUGCCCUCCAAACUGCUUGGCUUGAGUCCGGGAGAGGUGAGUGGAAUUCCCAGUGUAGCGGUGAAAUGCGUAGAUAUUGGGAGGAACACCAGUGGCGAAGGCGGCUCACUGGACCGGAACUGACGCUGAGGCGCGAAAGCGUGGGGAGCAAACGGG
rnacentral:rRNA from 1 species